GGGACACGUGGUAUCCUGUCUGAAUAUGGGGGGACCAUCCUCCAAGGCUAAAUACUCCUGACUGACCGAUAGUGAACCAGUACCGUGAGGGAAAGGCGAAAAGAACCCCGGCGAGGGGAGUGAAAAAGAACCUGAAACCGUGUACGUACAAGCAGUGGGAGCACGCUUAGGCGUGUGACUGCGUACCUUUUGUAUAAUGGGUCAGCGACUUAUAUUCUGUAGCAAGGUUAACCGAAUAGGGGAGCCGAAGGGAAACCGAGUCUUAACUGGGCGUUAAGUUGCAGGGUAUAGACCCGAAACCCGGUGAUCUAGCCAUGGGCAGGUUGAAGGUUGGGUAACACUAACUGGAGGACCGAACCGACUAAUGUUGAAAAAUUAGCGGAUGACUUGUGGCUGGGGGUGAAAGGCCAAUCAAACCGGGAGAUAGCUGGUUCUCCCCGAAAGCUAUUUAGGUAGCGCCUCGUGAAUUCAUCUCCGGGGGUAGAGCACUGUUUCGGCAAGGGGGUCAUCCCGACUUACCAACCCGAUGCAAACUGCGAAUAC
rnacentral:rRNA from 1 species